rnacentral:antisense_RNA from 1 species
UUAUGUGGGUUAUGAUUGGCGUGAAAUAAUAAAAAGCGCACCGGAAAGGUGCGCCAGAAAAUAAUGUUCAGGAUUUU